CUUCGGAUCGUAAAGCUCUGUUGUAAGAGAAAAACGGCACUCAUAGGGAAUGAUGAGUGAGUGAUGGUAUCUUACCAGAAAGUCACGGCUAACUACGUGCCAGCAGCCGCGGUAAUACGUAGGUGGCGAGCGUUAUCCGGAAUGAUUGGGCGUAAAGGGUGCGUAGGUGGCAGAUCAAGUCUGGAGUAAAAGGUAUGGGCUCAACCCGUACUGGCUCUGGAAACUGAUCAGCUAGAGAACAGAAGAGGACGGCGGAACUCCAUGUGUAGCGGUAAAAUGCGUAGAUAUAUGGAAGAACACCGGUGGCGAAGGCGGCCGUCUGGUCUGGAUUCUGACACUGAAGCACGAAAGCGUGGGGAGCAAAUAGGAUUAGAUACCCUAGUAGUCCACGCCGUAAACGAUGAGAACUAGGUGUUGGGGGAAUAACUCAGUGCCGCAGUUAACGCAGUAAGUUCUCCGCCUGGGGAGUAUGCACGCAAGUGUGAAACUCAAAGGAAUUGACGGGGGCCCGCACAAGCGGUGGAGUAUGUGGUUUAAUUCGAAGCAACGCGAAGAACCUUACCAGGCCUUGACAUCCCUUGCAGAGGUAUAGAGAUAUAUCCGAGGUUAUCAAGGAGACAGGUGGUGCAUGGUUGUCGUCAGCUCGUGUCGUGAGAUGUUGGGUUAAGUCCCGCAACGAGCGCAACCCUUGUGAUAUGUUACUAACAUUGAGUUGAGGACUCAUAUCAGACUGCCGGUGAUAAACCGGAGGAAGGUGGGGAUGACGUCAAAUCAUCAUGCCCCUUAUGGCCUGGGCUACACACGUACUACAAUGGCGUCUACAAAGAGCGGCAAGCCUGUGAAGGCAAGCGAAUCUCAUAAAGGACGUCUCAGUUCGGAUUGAAGUCUGCAACCCGACUUCAUGAAGCUGGAAUCGCUAGUAAUCGCGAAUCAGCAUGUCGCGGUGAAUACGUUCUCGGGCCUUGUACACACCGCCCGUCAAACCAUGGGAGUUGGUAAUGCCCGAAGCCGGUGGCAUAACCCUUCGGGGAGUGAGCCGUCGAAGGCAGGACCGAUGACUGGGGUUAAGUCGUAACAAGGUAUCCCUACGGGAACGUGGGGAUG
rnacentral:rRNA from 1 species